AUUUGAGUCUGUCGGCCAGGGGAAUUCCUGGCAGAGUGAUUUUUGAGACUACAGGACUGAAUCACAUUGCCAGGGAUUUCCAAUGGCUGCCAUGAAU
rnacentral:ncRNA from 2 species